UACUCCUGAUUGACCGAUAGUGAACCAGUACCGUGAGGGAAAGGCGAAAAGAACCCCGGCGAGGGGAGUGAAAAAGAACCUGAAACCGUGUACGUACAAGCAGUAGGAGCCCCAUCACUCAAGUGCCUCGCACUGAGUGAUGCAAGAACAUCACCGAAAAUAGCGCCGAAUUUGCUAACAAGGUUGGUCGAUUUUUUCAAGCCGUCGCGCAGUGUACCUAGAAGUACACGAGCAACGGAAGUUAAAAAAUCGGGCAAGAUUGAACGCAAAGG
rnacentral:rRNA from 1 species